rnacentral:rRNA from 1 species
GUGGGGAAUAUUGGACAAUGGGCGCAAGCCUGAUCCAGCAAUGCCGCGUGAGUGAUGAAGGCCUUAGGGUUGUAAAACUCUUUCAGCAGGGAAGAUAAUGACGGUACCUGCAGAAGAAGCUCCGGCUAACUCCGUGCCAGCAGCCGCGGUAAUACGGAGGGAGCUAGCGUUGUUCGGAAUUACUGGGCGUAAAGCGCGCGUAGGCGGCCUGACAAGUUGGGGGUGAAAGCCCGAGGCUUAACCUCGGAACUGCCCUCAAAACUAUCAGGCUAGAGUCCGGGAGAGGCAGGCGGAAUUCCUAGUGUAGAGGUGAAAUUCGUAGAUAUUAGGAGGAACACCAGUGGCGAAGGCGGCCUGCUGGACCGGUACUGACGCUGAGGUGCGAAAGCGUGGGGAGCAAACAGG